rnacentral:rRNA from 1 species
AUUGAACGCUGGCGGCAUGCUUUACACAUGCAAGUCGAACGGUAACAGGCCGCAAGGUGCUGACGAGUGGCGAACGGGUGAGUAAUGCAUCGGAACGUGCACAGUCGUGGGGGAUAACUACUCGAAAGAGUAGCUAAUACCGCAUACGAUCUAUGGAUGAAAGCGGGGGACCGUAAGGCCUCGCGCGAUUGGAGCGGCCGAUGUCAGAUUAGGUAGUUGGUGGGGUAAAGGCUCACCAAGCCAACGAUCUGUAGCUGGUCUGAGAGGACGACCAGCCACACUGGGACUGAGACACGGCCCAGACUCCUACGGGAGGCAGCAGUGGGGAAUUUUGGACAAUGGGCGCAAUCCUGAUCCAGCAAUGCCGCGUGCAGGAAGAAGGCCUUCGGGUUGUAAACUGCUUUUGUACGGAACGAAACGGCUCUGGUUAAUACCCGGGGCUAAUGACGGUACCGUAAGAAUAAGCACCGGCUAACUACGUG